rnacentral:rRNA from 1 species
CGAGCGAGUCUGCCUUGAAGAUCGGAGUGCUUGCACUCUGUGAAACAAGAUACAGGCUAGCGGCGGACGGGUGAGUAACACGUGGGUAACCUGCCCAAGAGAUCGGGAUAACACCUGGAAACAGAUGCUAAUACCGGAUAACAACAGAUGAUGCCUAUCAACUGUUUAAAAGAUGGUUCUGCUAUCACUCUUGGAUGGACCUGCGGUGCAUUAGCUAGUUGGUAGGGUAACGGCCUACCAAGGCGAUGAUGCAUAGCCGAGUUGAGAGACUGAUCGGCCACAUUGGGACUGAGACACGGCCCAAACUCCUACGGGAGGCAGCAGUAGGGAAUCUUCCACAAUGGACGCAAGUCUGAUGGAGCAACGCCGCGUGAGUGAAGAAGGGUUUCGGCUCGUAAAGCUCUGUUGUUGGUGAAGAAGGACAGGGGUAGUAACUGACCUUUGUUUGACGGUAAUCAAUUAGAAAGUCACGGCUAACUACGCGCCAGCAGCCGCGGUAAUACGUAGGUGGCAAGCGUUGUCCGGAUUUAUUGGGCGUAAAGCGAGUGCAGGCGGCUCGAUAAGUCUGAUGUGAAAGCCUUCGGCUCAACCGGAGAAUUGCAUCAGAAACUGUCGAGCUUGAGUACAGAAGAGGAGAGUGGAACUCCAUGUGUAGCGGUGAAAUGCGUAGAUAUAUGGAAGAACACCGGUGGCGAAGGCGGCUCUCUGGUCUGUUACUGACGCUGAGGCUCGAAAGCAUGGGUAGCGAACAGGAUUAGAUACCCUGGUAGUCCAUGCCGUAAACGAUGAGUGCUAAGUGUUGGGAGGUUUCCGCCUCUCAGUGCUGCAGCU